UUACUUGCUUCGGCAGUACAUAUACUAAAAUUGGAACGAUACAGAGAAGAUUAGCAUGGCCCCUGCGCAAGGAGUAACUAAAUCUUCUUAAAUAAAAUAAAAAAAC